AGCAGCCGUGCUGUAGGCCUAACACAUGCAGUCGAGCGCUCACUUCGGUGGGAGCGGCGGACGGGUUAGUAACGCGUGGGAACGUGCCCAGAUCUAAGGAAUAGCCACUGGAAACGGUGAGUAAUACCUUAUACGCCCUUCGGGGGAAAGAUUUAUCGGAUUUGGAUCGGCCCGCGUUAGAUUAGAUAGUUGGUGGGGUAAUGGCCUACCAAGUCUACGAUCUAUAGCUGGUUUUAGAGGAUGAUCAGCAACACUGGGACUGAGACACGGCCCAGACUCCUACGGGAGGCAGCAGUGGGGAAUCUUGGACAAUGGGGGCAACCCUGAUCCAGCCAUGCCGCGUGAGUGAUGAAGGCCUUAGGGUCGUAAAGCUCUUUCGCCAGGGAUGAUAAUGACAGUACCUGGUAAAGAAACCCCGGCUAACUCCGUGCCAGCAGCCGCGGUAAUACGGAGGGGGUUAGCGUUGUUCGGAAUUACUGGGCGUAAAGCGCGCGUAGGCGGAUUGGAAAGUUGGGGGUGAAAUCCCGGGGCUCAACCCCGGAACUGCCUCCAAAACUAUCAGUCUAGAGUUCGAGAGAGGUGAGUGGAAUUCCGAGUGUAGAGGUGAAAUUCGUAGAUAUUCGGAGGAACACCAGUGGCGAAGGCGGCUCACUGGCUCGAUACUGACGCUGAGGUGCGAGAGUGUGGGGAGCAAACAGGAUUAGAUACCCUGGUAGUCCACACCGUAAACGAUGAAUGCCAGUCGUCGGCAAGCAUGCUUGUCGGUGACACACCUAACGGAUUAAGCAUUCCGCCUGGGGAGUACGGUCGCAAGAUUAAAACUCAAA
rnacentral:rRNA from 1 species